UUUACCUACUUUGGUGCGAUUCCCGCCAACCUCCAGUGAUUGGCCCAGCCCCGGCACGUCAGGCCCUCGGGCGAGGGGUAAAGUCUGCGCAUUUUUCCUCCUUCCCAAGGCGACUGUGGCAGCCCUGAGUGCUCUGAGUCACCGCUAAUUUCAGUUAGAUUUGACAACUGGGAUCCUACUCUUUGCCAGCUGUGGCCGUGUUGCCACCAGGAACAAGAAGAUGAAUAAGUCAUGGGCCCUGCCACAAGGAGAUCACGAGUGCGAACAGAUCGAUGCCAAGAUAAAUGCCGCCCAGGAUCUCUUGGGAAUUCUCAAACUCCCACUGAUGGGGCAGAUCAUAGCAGGGAGAUGUUACUGGAGCUUAAUGAGCAAGGCAUCCAGAGAGAGACGAAGAAAGCAUUUGUUCCCAACAUGAUUUCUUACUGAGGUUGGGGAACACAAGUCCAGAGGGGACGCUCAGAGAUUGAUGUUUGGAAGGAAAGAACACAAAGCCUUUCUACCAAAAUGUUAGACUCCACAGACCAAUAUACCUAGAUAGAUAUAAAUCUGAUUCCCCCCCAUCCCCACCCCGAGGGGAUGCUCUACUGUGCUUCCUAGUUUUCCCUUCCUUUGGGGAUGGGAAGAAGGAUGCCAGCUGAUAAUUCAGCCAAAGAUACCCAGGUCUGCCCAAUGAGGAGCUUGCGGCAGGCUCUAUGACAGCUCCCAUACGGGAAACAGCUGAGGAACCGUGGUUGUGAUGUGACAUUCGAGGGUCUUUUGCUGUAAGACACCGGUAUUUCUGCCAUCAAUCUCUCAAUGCGGUGUUUGAUACUAUUGUCGCCAGCUCCAGCUGUGACUGGCUGUGUAACCCCUUGCACAGUGCCCCUCUCCGGGCCUCCUUGUCCUCACCUGCAAACAAGGUAUUGAUUAGUUUAAUUUCUUUAGCUCAAAAAUGUGAUGCCUGCACUAAACAGAAGAUUUAUUGAGCGUCUGGUGCAGUAUCAGCCAUUUGUAGAGUAUAUCCUGUUCUAGUGUUACUAAGGCAGACCCUUGAAUUUUGGUUGAGAAACUCUGGGCCUUGGGCUCUUGACACAGGGCCUAUUUUUACAGCAAAAUCAACAAGUUGUUAUAAUUGUCCAGGUGGUGGCCUCACGGGCUUCUCUCAGGCAGCCACACCUAGGGGGAGGGAGCUGAUUGGCACAAAGGGAGAAAAUAGCAUUCAUGUCACAUACUCAUCCAUGUCAGUGAGAGGCUGACAUGUCACAUCAUACAGUCAUUUGUUUAUUUUUAUUUUUUUGGUCAGUAAAUUCAGGCUCAGUCAUUGAGAGGUGGUCCCCUGGCAAGGUUUUCCAUGCUGGAGCUGGAAGGAAUCACUUGCUCAUUUGUAU